AAACUCCCUUGCCAAGGACACUGGGAGGAAGCAGAAAAGCAAAGACCAAGCUCGUACUUUUCAGUCCGCGGCUUGUGUGCCGCGAGGAGAGGCGCAAAGGGUGACACACCAGGAAAGCAGGUAGCAGGCAAGAGUGUGGUUAUCGUUGGACCAGGAUUCAGGAUCUGACUGAGUAGCUGACUCUUAAUCCAGUUUGUGUUGAUCACCAGGAGGAUCUGGACCUCAGUAUUACCACAUCUAGAGCUAUAAUCACAUCCCUGUUAAGCCUUCCUGAGAUCACACCAAAUGUCCUUGAUGGGAAUUGUAAACAACCCUUACUUCUGGUUUCUAAUGAUAUUCCAGGAAAGGAGCCUAACUAGAGUCAGUAGAAGGCCAUCCUAGGAAACAAUCCCAUGAGUGAUGUUUCAUGAAUUAUCUUCGUGAACCGGAGCAAGUCGCUUUGCCUUCCUGAACCUUCUCUGAGAUGGAAGGGUGAUCUGAAAAUAUGCCUCCCGGGUAAACCUCAGCCCUGGCUGGCAGAUCUGGCUGGCUAAUGGGACUCCCCUUUUCCUCUCCAUGGCUCCUGUGCCUCCCCCUCAAGACUGUGUGUAUUCCAAGAGGACUACAUUCCCAGGUGGGGUCGUAUUGUUCUUAUAAUGAAGGCUUACAGAAUUUCCUCGAAUGUUGCAUCUAGUUUUAGCGUUCUGAAUCUGUGAAUCACAAAUUAGAAUUGGUGCCUUUGGAAGAGGAGAUGGGACAUGAAGCCUGCUCCACCUUCUGAUAAUGCCCUAAAGAGCAGCUCAAAAUACAGCUAAAAGAACCCAGAAAACAAAAUAGGUAAGUCUUGAAGAGAGAUCAACAUUAGGAACACAAUAUUCACUGAAUAUAAUUCUGUGGUCUGUUUUAUACUUUAUUUUAUGCAUUCACUCCUAGUAUUUAAUUUAUGUAUCAAUUUCUGAGAAUUGGUUUCCAAAAAAGUCAUUAUCCAGUGAACUCUAUUAGUCACUAAAGCUUUAUAACAAAUAAAUUAACAAAACAUUGUUACCCUAAGAAGGAAUAGCCUCUUGUCACUUGUUGCCCCUUGGCUCUCAAAACUGGAAAGUCCACAUGCUUAUAGUGGUUAUGAUAGUUUAUCAAACUGAAGAAGAAGCCUGAACAACACUCCAGUGAUUCCAGACACAAGUAGAUAAUCUAUUCAGCCCCAUGUAGUUUCAGAGAGUAAACGAAGAUAAGGAAAUUUUUUUCUUCUCCUCAGGGCAGAGAUGUUUUUCAGUUCUUCUUCUUUUUUUUUUUUAAUCUUAGCACUUGAUAUUCCCUUGGGAAGUGUUGGUUACAACAAAACACUAUUUAUUAGAAUCCAAGUAUCUGAAAUUAAUCAAAGAUAGAUUAGCAUGCCAGUGUCCCCUUUCCUCUUUUGUUAUAAAAGAGCAAUAGUCAUUUUACUAUUGCUAAAUGUCAUUUACAUUUAGUCAUUUACUAAAAAUUAGUAAAAAAUUUCUUAAUAUAAGCAUAAAGUUACAAAGGCAAAGAGAAGAUGUACUGGAAGGUAAAUAGGCGUGGCAGAGGUUUGAAAGGCUGUUAGGCACUGGAUUAUAAUCCUUCUAGGGUAUGGACAACAUCUGGGUGUUAUUUUCUCUUUCAUAGUCAGUUCAGUACUCACUGUGCAUGAGAGGUGCUUGAGUGAGUCUUUGUUAGAUAAAUGAAAAGCAAAUUAAUCCACUUUUCAGAGCUCUCUUCGGAGACCUGAGCCUGAACAAGACAAUUCUCUAAAAGACAGAAUAUUUGGGAAUGAAAAAUAGGACAUUAGAAGAUGCUGUUUGUUACUUUUUAAAUCCCUUUUCAUCCUGGCUACGCUAACUCUACCCUCAAGGGCAGGAGAACAGAGGACCAGAGAUGGCUCCAGGCAAGUUGUGAGCUGUGUGGCAUCAGCAUCUGUCUAUAGUGGUGAUGCUGGUGCUGACAUGUGGUGGUUUAUUUAAUCUAUUUGGGCCCCAAUAUCUGCAUGUGUAAAAGGGAAUGAUGAUAAUGAGUAUUUUCCAAAAAAUAUGGUUGAAGGAUUAACUGUAUUUGAGAUAGAGUAGGCCUCAGUUCGUGUCAGCUAUUAGCCUUAGUCUGUCUACAGGAACCAGAAGUUUCAGGUUGGGAGAAGCCUGGCCUUUUAGUGAGAAGCUUUCUUGUGGUGGGACAAGAUGUUGGUGUGAGACCAGAAACUCAGCCUCUCAGGAGCAGAAAAAGAGGGGACUCGAUGUUCUGCUGGUGAUUCUGAGAUGAGUGUUAACAUCAGAUGUGGCUGUUAGUCCCCAGAAGGACAAAUAUAAAUGUUUCCUUCAUGCUCUUCUUUGUUUUUGUUUUUGGUUUUUGUUCCUUCUGCUGAUAAAUAUUCUUACUCAGAGGUUAUUACUGCAAAUAAUAAUAAAAAAUACUGGUAAACCAGGCCUCUGAUGUGUUAUUGUUAAAAAAAAAUCAAUGUUUUAUUCACAGUCUGAGUACAGACUUGGCUUUAUUGUUCUGAAAGAAUUCUGCAUGGCAGGGCAGGGGCUGAGCAAAAGAUUAAUGUUCAAAGGAUUUAUUAGUGUUGACUGUGAGUAUCUGUUUGUGUUUGUCUGUAAAGUUGGCUUGGUAGUCAGAAUGUAUGGGAAAACCUUCUAAGAGUCAUAUGGCAGCUUUUCAAAAACUCUGUAGAGCUGGGUACACAAUUUCCCUGGACUCACUCCCAUCUAAGCAGCCUCUAUCAGAGGGACCAGAGCAGCUGUAAGAUACCUGUUCAGGACAGAUGUGCAUAGGCCUGAAGCAGGAUACUGCAUCCCAAGCAACCACAGACUGCCAAGAAAGUUUCCUGUCAUGGCACAACUUAAGCUGAAAAAAUAGCAUCACAGCCUGAGCUGGAAGGGGUCCGAGAGCUGCUAUCAUCCAAUCAUCCAAUCCCUUCAUUUUCUAGUUGAGGAAUCAAAUCUACACAUCUCUAGCGACCUGCCCAAGAUAAUGCAGCUAAUUAGGGUCAGAGUUAAGAUUUGAGACAGAAUACAGAAAUUUUUUUUUAAAGCCUUCUGUACUGACAUUUGUUUUCAUUAAAUUUGAUACCACUUCUAUCCUUUGUCAACUUUUAUCGCUGAGAAAUAAUUAAUGUUGCAAUAAGCUGGAAUCAAAGAAAUUGGUGAGAGAAAUUGUGCUGACAUGUUUGGGGUUGUCUUUGUAUUCUCUGAAACCAC
rnacentral:lncRNA from 1 species